UACGUAGGGUGCAAGCGUUGUCCGGAAUUAUUGGGCGUAAAGAGCUCGUAGGCGGCUUGUCACGUCGGCUGUGAAAACCCGGGGCUCAACCCCGGGCCUGCAGUCGAUACGGGCAAGCUAGAGUUCGGCAGGGGAGACUGGAAUUCCUGGUGUAGCGGUGAAAUGCGCAGAUAUCAGGAGGAACACCGGUGGCGAAGGCGGGUCUCUGGGCCGAUACUGACGCUGAUGCGCGAAAGCCAGGGGAGCGAACGGG
rnacentral:rRNA from 1 species